CCAGAGAGGCUAUUGUUGAACAAGUACAACACGGUUAAAUGUUUCAAAUUUCCAAAAGUGGAAGGGAUGGGACCUGUGAGAUUGUUGGUAUCCGAGUAUAGCUGAACAAGGUUGGUGAGAUUUCCCAUUUCUGGAGGAAUGGAACCCGAAAGUUGAUUUUCAUAGAGAUACAAAGAGGCCAAGUUGCUCAAAUUACCCAAAGAAGCAGGAAUAGAACCCUCCAGUUGGUUGGUGUACAAAGCAAGCUCAUAAAGAGACGUCAACUGACCUAUUUCAUGAGGAAUUGAACCAUUCAACUGAUUUUGAACCAGGUGUAAGACCUCAAGAUUAGUUAAUAGGCCGAUCUCGGGCGGAAUCCCUCCUGAGAACUGGUUGAUAGAGAGAUCAAGGUAUUUGAGCUUGGAGAGGAGACCGAUUUGGGGUGGGAUAGGACCAGAGAGGUUGUUCAUGCUGAUAUCAACAUACGCAAGAUUGGGAAAAGAUGAGAAUGAGAAGGCUUGGAGCGUACCUCCUAAACCCGACUCUGUGAGGUUUAUUCUGAUGACGCUCCCUGCAUGGUUGCAGGAUAUUCCGUACCAUUUGCAUGGACUGACUUCUGUUCCAAGGUGGGUAGAAGAAUUGGUGAAGUUGUUAGGAUAAAGAGUCCACGAAAGGAGGGAAGAAUGGUUAUGGUUGUGAAGGGUAGCUUUCCAUUUGAGGAGAGCUUGUGUUUCUUCAUUAGAAUAAGAAGAAACAUGGUCUGAAGAAAUCAACAUAACCAAGAGGAGCAAGGAAACAAGGGAGAGCAUUUUCUGUAAGGUUGAGGGUGCCAUGGUUUUGGUUGAUGAAUUGCAUAUGCUGCUUCACAACUUCAUUUAUACACAUUUGGUUCCUUUGUUCGUCCCACUCGGAAACUUCCUUGUUCACACUUCACACCAAUUAAAAUUCAGCCCUUUAAUGUCAAGAUUGAGGUCUUUUAAAGCAUGGCUCCCUUUUUCUUUCUUUUUGCCUGGGGUUCCCUUUCUACUAGCAUGGUGGUCUUCCUAUAUCUUUGUGGUCGUCGAAGUCUUCUCCGGUCUCUUUCAAAAUGAAUAAUGACGAUGAAGGUUGGUUGGAGACUAACGCUCUCUUUGACAAUUAUUUUGGACAACAGAGCAGGUUUAGUAAUAAAAAAAUUAUUUUUUAUUUUUUAUUCUUAAACACAGAAAAUGAUAUGUUUUUUAGGGACUUUUUUUUUAAUUAUCAUCAAUUAUUUUGAUUUGUUUUUUAAAAAUUAUUUUAAAAAAUAACUAUAAAAAAUGGAGAAUAAUUAAAAAAAAUGGACAAAAAUUUUAUUUUUAAAAAUAUUUAAAAACAUUAAAUAUGUGAUAAAAAUAUUUAAGAUUUCUAAAUACAUUUUUAUUUUACCAUUCAUCAAAGAACUGCCGUUAAAAACUGUUAUAAAAAAAUAGUUGUUAAAGAUAACUUAAUUUUAUUUGAAUCUUUGUUUUUAUCUUUACGAUGAUCUUCUUCUUUUACUCUUUGUAAAAGAAAACCGAACUUGAAAAUUUGUUUCAGUUAAGUAAUUAUAAAAGAAAAUUUUAGUCUACUUAAUAACUAAGUUGAUUUAUUAAAACUUAAUAAUUAAUAUUUACCCUAGGCUUGGUUUUUAGAAAAUUUUAAAUGAAUUGAAUAUGAAAAAAAAAUGAAGUUUUAAAAAGAAAAAAACAAAAUUUAAGUUAAUAAAUUAUUUUUAUAUGUUUUUAAAUUUUAUUUGAAUGAUUUAUUUUUAUAUAAAGAAUAAAUAAUUUAAAAAUGCUUAAAUUUUUAAAUGAUUUUAAUUAUAUUUAAUUUAUUUAUUUUUAUGUAUUUUACAUUUUAAUAUUUAUUAUAAUAUGAAAUAUCAUAUGUUUAUUAUUAUUUGAAAUUGCUUUACAAUUUAUAAUUUAAUAGGAAAUUUUAAUUUAUUUAUUGAUAGUAUUCAUAAUUAAACUAUUUAAAACUUAUAAAUAAAAAAUAGUAUAUUAUAUAAUUAAAACAAUUUGUAUAGAUUAAAAUACUGUAGUAAUGAUAUAUAUUAGUAUUUUACUGUGUAUUUUAUACUUAUUUUUCAGUUAAUUUAAUUUUAAUUUUAAUUUUUAAUUUUUAAUUUUAAUUAAAACAAUUUAACUUUAAUUUUUUAAUUAUUAUUUUUUUAACUUUUAAGUAAUAUAAAAAAAAUUAAAGAAAAAUAAAAGGAAAUGGAUAAGAAAAGUAAAUCCGUGAUUCGGCCCAUUCCAGUCCACAGUUACCGCCGACGACACCGACGUCAGUCAACCGGCAACCGCGACGCCGCCUCAGCAGCGCAGUCACUGCCGCCAUCUCCGGAAACUCCACAGCACCACUCCUUUCCACCCAGAUGCCACGCGCCGUCGCUCACGGCAUCUCCGCCCGUGGCCUUGCCAUUCAAGGCGCCGCUCCGUCGCCGACUCCUUCCACACCCACCCCAUUCACUAACGCCAAGACCACCAUGGUCUCGGCCACUGCCUCUGGUAGCCAACAUGGCUGCCAUCUUCAUCCUCCAUCUCACCUCUCCGCCGUACCCCACUACCAAUCUCCUUCGGCCUCCAUGAUCCCCAUCUCCGCCGCUGAACCCAUCACCCUACCGGCGCCAACAUCUUUUCUUCUUUAUUUAUUUAUUUAUUUAUUCCAGUGCUGCUCAUAUAUUUUGAUAUGUAAAUAUUUAAUUUGUUAAUUAGAAAAUACAUGAGUAGCAGUCUUGGUAGAUGAAUGGAUGAAUUUUCUGCAUGAGUAGCAGAGAUUUAUCUACUUCUAUUCACACAAAACCACACUUUAUUUCUUUGGGCACAAAGCCACAAUUUCUAUGAGUACAAAUCACACCGGGUACUUGAUGUAGAAAGAAAGACUAAACAAACUCAAAAGGCAUUACAUAGUGCUGAAGAUGCAGGAGGUUCGAAACCAUGUGUUACGGUAGACUAGGUAGAGUUCCCCACAAACUAAAUCUUACCUUACUACUUUCUCUGUGAUAACAUCUGAGAAACAGUCUGCAUGGUUGGCCUGGAUUGCGGGUUGGCUUUUAAGCAUUCAAUUGCUUGCUUUAGGAUAGCUAUCACUUCCCCCUCAUCCUGGGGUGUGAGAGGUGGGAGUCGGGGGUCCAACAUGUCUUCCAACGCUAUGUUAUCCUUCUCUGGGGAAACUGAUAGAGACAAGAUCUGAUCUCCAGGAUGUCUUCCUUUGAUAACUUCCAGUGCUAUUACUCCAAAGCUAAAGACAUCAGUUUUUUCGGUCACCUUCAUUGUAUAAGCAAGCUCUGCAAAAUUAAAAGAUAAAUAUUAUAUCGUGGACAUGUUUCAUACCUUGUUUAAUUCAAGAGUGAACCGUACCUGGUGCAAGAUAUCCGAAUGUGCCUGCAAGUAUGCUCUGAUUCGAUGAGUCUAGCUUUAGAAGCUUGGCAGUGCCGAAGUCAGAAAUAUGAGCUUCAUACUGAGAAUCCAGCAGAAUAUUGUUGCUUGAUACAUCCCGAUGAACAAUAGGGGGUGAGCAAUCAUGGUGCAUGUAAGCCAAAGCAUGAGCCACUCCUUUAAUGAUAUUGACCCUUGUAGCCCAACCCAAUUUCUUAGCUUCUUCUCUGCUCAAGAUUGUAGCCAGGCUACCUCUUUCAAGGUACUCGUAGACCAAAAACUUGUGUCGUGGAUGUGAACAGAAACCAAGAAGUUUCACUAUGUUUCGAUGCUUGAUUUCUGUUAGUGCCCUUAUUUCAUUUAAGAAAUCCUUUUGAUUUGCCAUCUCUGUGUCGGAUGGGUGAAGCUUCUUCACAGCUACUAUAUUACUUGAUGGCAGCUCUGCUUUGUAAACACUUCCAUGGCCUCCCUUUCCUAUGCAAUACAUGGGAUCAAAAUCCUUGGUGGCCUUUAUAAUCUCUUCAUACAUUGUUCUUCCAUCAAAAUUUGAUAUUGAAAAGAGAUCAUUCUGUACGUCACCUUCUUCGAUUUCUGGAGUUCUCUCUCUUCUUUCAGCAAUCAAGAAAAUCCCAAUGAAAGCAAAAAGAAGUACAAGUGCUCCCAAAAGAGGGAAUAUGAUAAUAAACACAACUUUGUGGCUCUUUUUGACAGGUUGUUGGUCUACUCCAAAACCAUAUUUGCAAGGUUGCAACCCUUUAACAUUGCCGCACAAAUCUUUGUUCCCCUUUAGCACCUCAAUGGUAGCAUUUCGAAAUGCAUUGCUGUGAGGAAUGGGACCCUGCAACUGAUUGUAGGAUAUGUCAACAUACGACAAGGCAGGCAUGUCCUCAAAAGCCUUUGGGAUGAAACCACAAAGGUUGUUAUGGGAGAGAUCAAGCAUCUCCAAGCUUUGCAAACCUUGGAUCUGUGGCGGGAUGCCACCUGCAAGCAAGUUGUGACUCAGAUCUAGCUGGGAGAGGUGACUCAGCUUACCCAUCUGAACCGGAAUUCCGUGGCUGAGUUUGUUAUUGCUCAGGUUCAAGUAAUGCAAGUCCAAGCAGUCGCCCAAGUGCUCUGGUAUUGACCCAUUCAAUCUAUUGGCUGAAAGGUCUAGAUACUCAAGGUGGGACAGCGAUCCAAGUUCAGGAGGAAUACUCCCGGAAAGUUGGUUGUCAUUCAAUAUGAGCCCCAACAGAGAAGUUAAACUUCCCAUUUUCUUUGGAAUUUCCCCAACCAAAUGAUUUGAAGAAAGAUCAAGCAAGGUUAGAUUAGUUGAGAUUCCAAAAUCUUCUGGUAUGCUCCCUGUAAUAUUGUUCCCGGCAAUCUCCAGCCUUUGUAGUUGUGGGCAUCUUCCCCAGUUAUGAGAGAGUUCACCAUGAAACCUGUUGUAGCUCAAAUCGAUGAAUUCCAGGUUUGGACAGUCACCAACUACCUCAGAUAUAUUUCCAGUGAGUCGGUUUCCCUGGAACAGAGCUCUGGUUAAGUUUCUGCAAUUUUUCAAGCUUUUGGGGAUGGGACCACUGAGAUGGUUGUCACUCACUGCAAAGCGCACCAGAGAUCCAGCUUGGCAAAUGCCUUCCGGUAAAGAGCCAAACAGCUGGUUUGUGUCGAUUUCUAGCACAACCAACUUAUGAAGUUUCCCAAUUUCUUGAGGAAUGUAACCAGAAAGUUGAUUAUCACGGAGGAAUAAAAUUUCUAAAUUGGUUAGAUUACCCAGUGAAGUAGGAAUGGAACCAUUGAGUUGAUUUUCAGAAAGUUCUAGAUCAACAAGAGACUUCAAGUUUCCUAUUUCUUGAGGAAUGGGACCGGAAAGUUGAUUGGCAUAGAGAUGCAGGAGGGUUAGGCCACUCAGAUCACAUAAUGACACAGGGAUUGGACCAGAAAGAUUGUUUUCGUAGAGGCUUAGCUCUUGCAGGGAUUUCAAAUUUCCUAUUUCUGGUGGGAUAGGCCCAGAGAGGCUAUUGUUGAACAAGUACAACACGGUUAAACGUUUCAAAUUUCCAAAAGUGGAAGGGAUGGGACCUGUGAGAUUGUUGUUAUUCGAGUAUAUCUCAACAAGGUUGGUGAGAUUUCCCAUUUCUGGAGGAAUGGAACCCGAAAGUUGAUUUUCAUAGAGAUACAAAGAGGCCAAGUUGCUCAAAUUACCCAAAGAAGCAGGAAUAGAACCCUCCAGUUGGUUGGUGUACAAAGCAAGCUCAUAAAGAGAUGCCAACUGACCUAUUUCAUGAGGAAUUGAACCAUUGAGCUGAUUUUGAACCAG
rnacentral:lncRNA from 1 species